rnacentral:rRNA from 1 species
GACAGAGGGUGCAAACGUUGUUCGGAAUUACUGGGCGUAAAGCGCGUGUAGGCGGUUUCGUAAGUCGGAUGUGAAAGCCCUCGGCUCAACCGGGGAAGUGCACCCGAAACUGCGGAACUAGAGUCUCGGAGAGGAUCGUGGAAUUCUCGGUGUAGAGGUGAAAUUCGUAGAUAUCAGGAGGAACACCGGUGGCGAAGGCGGAUCUCUGGGCCUGUUCUGACGCUGAGGCGCGAAAGCUAGGGGGAGCGAACAGG